GAUGAACGCUGGCGGCGUGCCUAAUACAUGCAAGUCGAGCGAACAGACAAGAAGUUGGCUCCUUUGACGAUAUCGGAGCACGGGAGAGUAACACAUAUGUCACCUACGUAUAAGACUGAUAUCACUUCGGGAAAACGGAUCUAAUACCGGAUAAUAUUACGAACCGCGUGGUUCGAUAGAGAAGGAUGGCUUUGUUAUCACUUAAAGAAGGACCUGCGCCUUAUUAACUAGGUGGGAAGGCAACGCCUUACCGAGGCAACGAUUCGUCGACCACCUGAGAGGAUGAUCCGCCACGCUGGAGAUGAGACACCGACAAUACUCCUACAGGAGGCAGCAGGAAGUAAUCUUCCGCGGUGGGAGAAAGCAUGAAGGAGCACCGCCGCGUGGAAGAUGAAUGUCUUCUCAUCGAACUACUCUGUUAUAAAGGAACAACAGACAUGUAGGUAACUGCGCACUGCUUGACGGUCCCUAAUCAGAAAGACACGGAUAACUACGUGCCAGCACCCGCGAUAAUACAUAUGUGGAAAGCGUUAUCCAGAAUUAGUGCGCGUAAAGCGCGCGUACGCGGAUAUUUAACUCAGAUGUGAAAGUGCACGGCUCAACCGUGACAGGGUCAUUGACAGCUGAAUAACUUGACUGCAGGAGAGGAGAGAGUACUUCCGUGUGUAGCGAUGAGCUGCGCAAAUAUAUGGAGCAACACCGGUGACGAAGGCGACUUUCUGGUCUGUAACUGACGCUGAUGUGCGAAAGCGUGGGGAUCAAACAGGAUUAGAUACCCUGGUAGUCCACGCCGUAAACAAUGAGUGCUAAGUGUUAAGGCGUUUCCGCCCCUUAGGGCUGCAGCUAACGCAUUAACCACUCCGCCUGGGGAGUACAACCGCAAGGUUGAAACUCAAAGGAAUUGACGGGGACCCGCACAAGCGGGGGAGCACAUGGUUUAAUUCGAAGCACCGCGAAAAACCUUACCAGAUCUUUGACAUCCUUUGACCCUUCUAGAGAUAGAAGUUUCCCCUUCGGAGGACAAAGACGACAGGUGGUGCAUGGUUGUCGUCAGCUCGUGUCGUGAGAUGUUGGGUUAAGUCCCGCAACGAGCGCAACCCUUAAGGUUAGUUGCCAUCAUUCAGUUGGGCACUCUAAGUAGACUGCCGGUGACAAACCGGAGGAAGGUGGGGAUGACGUCAAAUCAUCAUGCCCCUUAUGAUUUGGGCUACACACGUGCUACAAUGGACAAUACAAAGGGCAGCGAACCCGCGAGGUCAAGCAAAUCUCAUAAAGUCGUUCUCAGUUCGGAUUGUAGUCUGCAACUCGCCUACAUGAAGUUGGAAUCGCUAGUAAUCGUAGAUCAGCAUGCUGCGGUGAAUACGUUCCCGGGUCU
rnacentral:rRNA from 1 species